rnacentral:lncRNA from 1 species
CAGCCUUCAAACCCUCUUCGUCUCAAAUUCUCUCUAGCCCUCGAAACCCUAAUUAUCUCCCUCGUCUUCUCCAAUCAAUCUUCACCGGAGUCCAUGAAUUCUCAGGCCAUGGACAACCUGUGCUCACUUGCUUUAACCUCCAGACCCUGGUUGUUCAAGGUUUUGAGGUCCGGCCUCAACGAUGCCUGUUCAGAUCCUCUGCCGAUCUGUGCUCCUAUGGCCUCUCAGGCUCUAUUCCUACGUGCUUAAGCCUUAAGGGCCUAGCUACGACUCAGAUCUGUUCGAGACCAUACUUUUUCCAAGCCUUCUCAUUUUUACGGUUUCUAUGAAACCCUAAAUCUAUUUCGAGGUUCCUUCUUCUCUUAUUUGCUUAGAUCUGUGAUGAAUCUGUGUUGUAUUUAACGUUUUGAAGCUUUUUCCCAAUUUUUCUUUUCCAAAUUUAGCUUGUUUCAAUUUAGGAUUUUCUGAAAAUCUUUAAACGACUUCUGUCACUUCUUCGUCUUCUUUUCUUGUGUGAAUCUACUGUAUAUAUGAGUUUUUUGCUUUGUUCUUAUGAUCUUUCCUUGCAUGUUCUUCUCCUCUGCCUUUAUGUUUGCCUUAUUGUGCAUGUUCUCCAUUCUUUCUUCUACUAGUUUCUAUAGCAUGCUUUCACAUGUUUUUCUUAUAUGUUCAUUAACCCAUGUGUUCCUUUAUUGUAUUUAUCUACUAAGCGUAAGUUCUUUAUCUGCCUUCUUCUAAACUUGUUUAAGUUCCAAGUUUCUUAAAAUGUGCUGUUACUUCUCUUGCUAUGUUUCAAAUAAGUUCUAUUCGCCUUGAACCUGCUAUUUGUUCGUUCUCUCAUGAGUCUUUGAGCCUGUUUCAAUUAUUUGCUUUUCUUCUCUGUAAUUACUCAAGUCGAAAACCUUAAGAUUUGGCGGGGUUUUUGACAAGUUUGG